UACGUAGGGGGCAAGCGUUGUCCGGAUUUAUUGGGCGUAAAGAGCGUGUAGGCGGCCUGACAGGUCUGCUGUGAAAACUCGAGGCUCAACCUCGAGAUGUCGGCGGAAACCGUCUGGCUAGAGUCCGGAAGAGGCGAGUGGAAUUCCUGGUGUAGCGGUGAAAUGCGCAGAUAUCAGGAGGAACACCAAUGGCGAAGGCAGCUCGCUGGGACGGUACUGACGCUGAGACGCGAAAGCGUGGGGAGCAAACAGG
rnacentral:rRNA from 1 species